rnacentral:SRP_RNA from 1 species
CCCGGGGGUGGCACAGCCUUCUAAUCCUUGCUACUGGGGAAGCUGAAGUCGGUAGAUCUCUUGAGCUCAGGGGUUCUGAGCUGCAGGGGGCUAAGCCUAACAGGUAUCCACACUAAGUCCAGCAGCAGUAUACUGAAACCCUGGGAACAAGGGAGCCACCAGGUUGCCUAAGGAAGGGUGAAGAGGCCCUGGUCAGAAAUGGAACAGAUCAAAGCUUCUGUGUUGGUUAAUGGUGGGACUGGGUCUGUGCAUACAUUUCUUGGUGAUAUGUAGGGCUCAUUUCAUUUACUUCAGCUC